rnacentral:rRNA from 1 species
GACGAACGCUGGCGGCGUGCCUAAUACAUGCAAGUUGAGCGCUGAAGGUUGGUACUUGUACCGACUGGAUGAGCAGCGAACGGGUGAGUAACGCGUGGGGAAUCUGCCUUUGAGCGGGGGACAACAUUUGGAAACGAAUGCUAAUACCGCAUAAAAACUUUAAACACAAGUUUUAAGUUUGAAAGAUGCAAUUGCAUCACUCAAAGAUGAUCCCGCGUUGUAUUAGCUAGUUGGUGAGGUAAAGGCUCACCAAGGCGAUGAUACUUAGCCGACCUGAGAGGGUGAUCGGCCACAUUGGGACUGAGACACGGCCCAAACUCCUACGGGAGGCAGCAGUAGGGAAUCUUCGGCAAUGGACGAAAGUCUGACCGAGCAACGCCGCGUGAGUGAAGAAGGUUUUCGGAUCGUAAAACUCUGUUGGUAGAGAAGAACGUUGGUGAGAGUGGAAAGCUCAUCAAGUGACGGUAACUACCCAGAAAGGGACGGCUAACUACGUGCCAGCAGCCGCGGUAAUACGUAGGUCCCGAGCGUUGUCCGGAUUUAUUGGGCGUAAAGCGAGCGCAGGUGGUUUAUUAAGUCUGGUGUAAAAGGCAGUGGCUCAACCAUUGUAUGCAUUGGAAACUGGUAGACUUGAGUGCAGGAGAGGAGAGUGGAAUUC